GGCCCGUUAGUGUAGCGGACGAACAUUCUCCCCUGUCACGGGAGAGAUCACGGGUUCGAAUCCCGUACGGGUCGCCA
rnacentral:tRNA from 2 species